rnacentral:rRNA from 1 species
UGUGGAUUAAUUCGAUGCAACGCGAAAAACCUUACCUACCCUUGACAUGUACGGAAUCCUGCUGAGAGGUGGGAGUGCUCGAAAGAGAACCGUAACACAGGUGCUGCAUGGCUGUCGUCAGCUCGUGUCGUGAGAUGUUGGGUUAAGUCCCGCAACGAGCGCAACCCUUGUCCUUAGUUGCUACGCAAGAGCACUCUAAGGAGACUGCCGGUGACAAACCGGAGGAAGGUGGGGAUGACGUCAAGUCCUCAUGGCCCUUAUGGGUAGGGCUUCACACGUCAUACAAUGGUCGGUACAGAGGGCUGCCAAACCGCGAGGUGGAGCUAACCCCAGAAAACCGAUCGUAGUCCG